rnacentral:lncRNA from 1 species
CCAAAUAUGACUGAAUAAAGUUGUAUUCCUUGGCUCAGCACCUGUUUCUUGGAUUUAUUGGCCUGUCCAUAGGGUGAGCAGUGUGAGCUUGGACUUGGUAACAAUUUCACCUUCUUUUUCUCCCCGAUAAGAGAUAUUUUUGCUGAGUGUGUCCGCUUGUGCAAGGUACAGCGAGGAGGAACGCCAGGCGCGUGUAAGUCCUCUUCUGCAAGAUUCGUGGGAGAGUCACGCUCUAGUGGACAGGACAUGAGCUGUGAAGGCAGACAGACCCGCGUCUUCAUUUCAGCUCGCCUCUCACUGGCUGUGUCUCCUUGGAUAAUCUGUCUUUGAGUCUUGUUUUUCUUACCUGUGAAAUAGAGAUCAUGUAUCUACUCAGGACUGCUCUGUGGCUUGGGUGAACUGAAUGAAUGGAAAAGCUCUGACUGUCCGGAGCACAGUGAGUCAUCAGGGAAGGUGAGGUGCCGUCCCC